UACAGAGGUCCCAAGCGUUGUUCGGAUUCAUUGGGCGUAAAGGGCGCGUAGGCGGCGAGGUAAGUCGGGUGUGAAAUCUCAGAGCUCAACUCUGAAACUGCACUCGAUACUGCUUUGCUAGAGGACUGGAGAGGAGAUUGGAAUUCACGGUGUAGCAGUGAAAUGCGUAGAGAUCGUGAGGAAGACCAGUGGCGAAGGCGGAUCUCUGGACAGUUCUUGACGCUGAGGCGCGAAGGCCAGGGGAGCAAACGGG
rnacentral:rRNA from 1 species